UGAGGAAUAUUGGACAAUGGAGGAAACUCUGAUCCAGCCAUGCCGCGUGCAGGAUGACGGCCCUAUGGGUUGUAAACUGCUUUUAUGUAGGAAGAAACACUCUCACGUGUGAGAGCUUGACGGUACUACAAGAAUAAGGACCGGCUAACUCCGUGCCAGCAGCCGCGGUAAUACGGAGGGUCCAAGCGUUAUCCGGAAUCAUUGGGUUUAAAGGGUCCGUAGGCGGGCUAUUAAGUCAGAGGUGAAAGUUUGCAGCUCAACUGUAAAAUUGCCUUUGAAACUGGUGGUCUUGAAUUAUUAUGAAGUGGUUAGAAUAAGUAGUGUAGCGGUGAAAUGCAUAGAUAUUACUU
rnacentral:rRNA from 1 species